AACGAACGCUGGCGGCAUGCCUAACACAUGCAAGUCGAACGAUUGCCUUCGGGUGAUAGUGGCGCACGGGUGCGUAACGCGUGGGAAUCUGCCCUUAGGUUCGGAAUAACAGCUGGAAACGGCUGCUAAUACCGGAUGAUAUCGCGAGAUCAAAGAUUUAUCGCCUGAGGAUGAGCCCGCGUUGGAUUAGGUAGUUGGUGGGGUAAAGGCCUACCAAGCCGAUGAUCCAUAGCUGGUCUGAGAGGAUGAUCAGCCACACUGGGACUGAGACACGGCCCAGACUCCUACGGGAGGCAGCAGUGGGGAAUAUUGGACAAUGGGCGCAAGCCUGAUCCAGCAAUGCCGCGUGAGUGAUGAAGGCCCUAGGGUUGUAAAGCUCUUUUACCCGGGAAGAUAAUGACUGUACCGGGAGAAUAAGCCCCGGCUAACUCCGUG
rnacentral:rRNA from 1 species